CCUACGGGAGGCAGCAGUGAGGAAUAUUGGUCAAUGGGCGGGAGCCUGAACCAGCCAAGCCGCGUGAGGGAAGAAGGUACAGCGUAUCGUAAACCUCUUUUGUCAGGGAACAAAGGCGGGGACUAGUCCCCGGAUGCGGGUACCUGAUGAAAAAGCAUCGGCUAACUCCGUGCCAGCAGCCGCGGUAAUACGGAGGAUGCGAGCGUUAUCCGGAUUUAUUGGGUUUAAAGGGUGCGCAGGCGGCCUGUUAAGUCAGCGGUAAAAGCCCGGGGCUCAACCCCGGCGAGCCGUUGAAACUGGCGGGCUGGAGUUGGAGGAAAGUACGCGGAAUGCGCGGUGUAGCGGUGAAAUGCUUAGAUAUGGCGCAGAACCCCGAUUGCGAAGGCAGCGUGCCGGCUCCGCACUGACGCUGAGGCACGAAAGCGUGGGUAUCGAACAGGAUUAGAUACCCGUGUAGUC
rnacentral:rRNA from 1 species